UCGAGCGGAGACAGUGAGUAGCUUGCUAUGAGCUGUUUUAGCGGCGGACGGGUGAGUAACGCGUGAGCAACCUUUCCCAGACAGGGGAAUAACACACCGAAAGGUGUACUAAUACCGCAUAAGACCACGGGAUCACAUGGUUCUGGGGUAAAAGAAUUAUCGGUUUGGGGUGGGCUCGCGUCCGAUUAGGUAGUUGGUGAGGUAACGGCCCACCAAGCCGACGAUCGGUAGCCGACCUGAGAGGGUGAUCGGCCACAUUGGGACUGAGACACGGCCCAAACUCCUACGGGAGGCAGCAGUGGGGAAUAUUGGGCAAUGGAGGAAACUCUGACCCAGCAACGCCGCGUGGAGGAAGAAGGUUUUCGGAUCGUAAACUCCUGUCCUUGGAGACGAGUAGAAGACGGUAUCCAAGGAGGAAGCCCCGGCUAACUACGUGCCAGCAGCCGCGGUAAUACGUAGGGGGCAAGCGUUGUCCGGAAUAAUUGGGCGUAAAGGGCGCGUAGGCGGCUCGGUAAGUCUGGAGUGAAAGUCCUGCUUUUAAGGUGGGAAUUGCUUUGGAUACUGUCGGGCUUGAGUGCAGGAGAGGUUAGUGGAAUUCCCAGUGUAGCGGUGAAAUGCGUAGAGAUUGGGAGGAACACCAGUGGCGAAGGCGACUAACUGGACUGUAACUGACGCUGAGGCGCGAAAGUGUGGGGAGCAAACAGG
rnacentral:rRNA from 1 species